rnacentral:tRNA from 1 species
CGGGGAGUAGCGCAGCUUGGUAGCGCGCCUGGUUCGGGACCAGGAAGUCGGCGGUUCAAAUCCGCUCUCCCCGA